rnacentral:lncRNA from 1 species
UUCAAUCCUUCUUCUCAGUAUUUCAUGGUCUUUUCCAAGGCCUCCUGUUAAAAUCAGAGAGAAAAAAAAAAAGAAUAAAUGCAUCAGCAAUUGUUAAGAAACCAAAACAUUUGUGACAUGGAAUACCAAAAAAAUGUUUAGAAGAAAACUCAUCUACUAACCAUCUCCUGUCUGCUUCUUAUAGUUUUCUAUCUGUUCUUUGGCCUUUAAAAGUUGCUCCUCUAAAGCAUGUACUUUUCCUGCAGCUGGUCCCUGAUCAAUGGGUCCAUCUGGUAUCCUGAGAGAUUCUGCCAUCCGCCUUAAGUCUUCAUUUUGUUGCUUUAAACGUUCAAGUUUAGCAAGUAUCUUGGACAAUUCACGACUAGAAUGAUCUGGGUGCUCACUGUCUCGUACCAGGUGUCCACCAAUAUAGAAGAGUAAAGUUCCCCACGCAAAGAGGAUGAGCAUAAUCCAACGCCAGGAACCAGUCCAUGGCCGCAUUUUCAGAUGCUCAGUUCACUCCAGAACUGUUUCUGUUCACAAAGCAACACACAUUUUAAGUCCUUAGCCUGUACAGAAGUGGACAAUUUCAGUUCCUCCACUUCACCACAUUGUACUGAAGAAAAAUUAUUCUGUGUUUGUUUCACUGCAACUCCUUAGUGAAGAUCCUUAUGGAGUUGAACACAGAGAGAAUUAACAUUGUAUUGUUCUUGGAUUAUAUUUUUUCUCUCUUGGACUUCCUCUGCCUGAUGCAUCCCAGGACUGGGUUUGUUUUU